GAGCGCUACAGCCGGGCUGCUGCGGCUCUCGGGUCUCUGCCAUCCCACAGCCGAACAAUUCCAGAGAAGGAGCUGGGGAACGGACUGCAGCACAAGUCCUGGGAGGAGUACCUGGAGGAGCUGGGGGUGUUUAGCCCCCUUAGAAAAGAAGGCUCACGGGUGACCUUAUCACUCCCUACAACUGCCUGAAAGGAGUCUUUGGCCAGGUCUGCCUCUCCAAAGGAGAACAAGGUCAUGACACAAAUAAAGCUCUGCAGAACCCUGGAACAUGGGUGACUGUUGUCUGCAUCAGUCUUUCUCUUCACUCCAAAGGAGGAAGAUUCAGUAAUGGCACAUAUGAAUUGGCAAGAGGAAUUAUAAAGUCUCAAAGCAAAUGAAGGUUUUUAAGAAGCUGUUCUAUUAGUGUGAAUGGAUAUAAGAAAGGAACCCUCUGCAAAAUGGAUGAUCUUCAUAAUGAGAAUGGUUGCCCAUUCUGAAGUCACAGGCAGAAAUCUACUUUAAAAAACAUAAAUAAUAUUUACAUCUUCAGCAUAAUCUUUAUGAAUAUAGCAAGAGUGCUCUCUGGAUGGCUGGAACUUUGUCUCAGAAAAAGUAGAAAAUCCUAUACUCAUCUUUAGAAAGAUGCUAUACUUGAUUUGAAGACCUAAUUCAUGCCACUAAUUCACUUUUCUCAAUAGAGGCAAGACACUGGCUACCUGACUUUCACGUAAAGGGUAUUUUGUUCAGAAAUUUUCUUGGUAGUUGAACUGGAUUUUCAUAGGUCUGAUGCAUUCAUUUCUACAGCUAGGCAGACUUGAAAGGAAAAUCUAGCUUUUGAAUUCUGGCUACCCAGCAUACCUAAUCCAUGGCCAAGAGGGAAAUGUGAAGAAAACAAGUGAAGUAGCUUAGAUGUGUUUAUCCAAUCAAAUCUAAAAGGAAAUUUGGUGAUAUAAAUACUUGUCUCAUAACUAGCACAUUGAUCAAAAGAUGUGUUUUUGUAGCCUGUGUGUUUUUGGAGUACAUAUUUUAUCUUUGAAUUUAAUCUGAAUUAGCAUGACCAGAUCUGACUCUGUUAUUUUCUCCAUGGAAGAUUUUUAAGUGAGUGAAAGCAAGACACCAUGUGUUUGGACAUGGGCAGCUGACCCUGAAAUAUCAUUGCUCUGACAUGUCUCUCCACUGUAUCUUGUUCCCAGCCUAGAAGAUACUUCCAGUAAUACUGUUCCCGAAUGACUGGAAGCCAGCAUCCAAGAUUAUAACAGCACACAGCAUGGCUUCUGAAUCCUUUAAGCACAGGGAAGUGGCAACAAGAAUUGGGAUAAAGUGAGAUAUAACAGUGGGAUUCUGCUUGUUUAAAUCCUUUGUGUUACAGAAUUCCAUCGGAGGAAUAGAAUUAAAAUUUGGCCCCUCAGACCAGACACCUGGAAAGGGUCAGCAAGAGGAUUUUAUAAAGUCUCAGAAGGUCAAGAUUGAUUUGCAAUAAAUGGAAAAGAUACAAUAUUGAAUUCUGCUGCAGUGGAGAAGUGGCAAUGCUCAACAAGUGUAUUUGAGAGUUUCGUUCCUUAGAACUGACUGAAAGCAGGGAAAGAAAAACUGGAAUUGGCUUUAGCACAUUUCAGCAGGAAAAGGAUGACUGGAAAAAGUCAGGUCUGUGGAAAGGGGUGGGAUUAUAGAAAAAUGAAGCCCCAGGAGAUCUUGCAAAACAGGUUACAAACACACUGUUGUUUACUUUGGUGGUGCCUGAAGGUUAAACUUGACAAUUCCCAGUGGAAUUGGUGAGAAAAGCCUCCACAGAUUUCAGCUGAUUUCCAUGAAUAACAACUGAAUGGCUUGUUAGCAAGUCCAGUUUUCUCUUGGGUAUCUGGAAGAAGGUCAAGGAAGUCUCUAAUGUCCACUGCUACCUUUUAUAGAGCUUUUUGGAUGCUGGUGGUAGCUGUACACUUGUACCUUUAAGAUACUUCAGUGAGUUGCUAGAACUUUUAACAACAUAUAAAUGUUUAAAUAUAUAAAUCUUUAUUCCUCCUUGUACAAUAAAACUUCUGAGAAAUGUUUCUUUCCCUCCCAAACAAUGAAAAAUAGUAAAGUAAGAUGCACAGAAUCCUUUGGAGAAAAAUAUGGGCUGGCAAGAACAAGACAUUUUUGACUGGACUGACUGGACCAGCUGGACAGAAAUAAGCUAUUUAAGAAAUUUAAUUCUGGGCUGUAUAAAAUUAGGUGCAGAAAACAGCUAAAGGCAAAGUCUGUUUUAACUCCCUAGUAUAUUAACUAAGAAAUUUAAUCUUUUUAAGGGUGUAAAAGCUAUCUAACCAUUUGUCCAUAAAAAGCAUGCAGUAAGGGCUAUUGCCAUUUAACAAAGGACCAAGUGCUCCUGUGCCCUGGAGAACAGAAGACAGUCACUGACAGAAAAGGAUUCAGUUCAGAGAGAGAUUAUGUGCUCUUCUGUCUUGCUCUUUUUCCUGGUGUCCUGGGGUGACUUUAUGAUACUGGUAUCCCCAAUCGUCUGGUUUAUGUUAUAUAUUAAAUUCUGCACCUUUAAGACUGGGUUUGAGAGCAAGAGAGGGGGAAGAAGAAGCCGCAGUUUGUGUUAAGGAAAAACAUCACUCCCACACAUCUCUCUCCUGGACUGUGGUGUCUGCAGCACGCCAGACAGCGGGACAGAGCUUUUCUCUGGCUUUUAGUUAGUUUUAGCUAGAUGAGGCAGAGGAGUUCCCUGGACCUUUGUUUUUUCUCUUCCUUUUUUUCUUGGAUCUAUGCAAGCCUGCUCUGGACUGAACACCCAGCCAAACCCCGGGAGCUCACGCCUGUGGCCCACCGGGGCCUGGGCCUCGGCACUUUCCAGCGCCGGAGGGACUGAUAAGAAACUGAGCGAGCCGAGCUACACCACAUGAAAAGGACUUUUCUUCCUAGACUUGCCAUCCCAUCGAACAGUGAGAGGUUUUAUUAUUUAAUAUUAUUCAAUUUCUGUUAAAUAAACAGCUUUUCCCACUUC